UACGAAGGGGGCUAGCGUUGUUCGGAAUUACUGGGCGUAAAGCGCGUGUAGGCGGGUCUUUAAGUCAGGGGUGAAAUGCCAAGGCUCAACCUUGGAACUGCCUUUGAUACUGGAGAUCUUGAGUCCGGGAGAGGUGAGUGGAACUGCGAGUGUAGAGGUGAAAUUCGUAGAUAUUCGCAAGAACACCAGUGGCGAAGGCGGCUCACUGGCCCGGUACUGACGCUGAGGUGCGAAAGCGUGGGAGCAAACAGG
rnacentral:rRNA from 1 species